GUUAUAGGAGGACAAUUUAAAUGGUGAUAUAUAGUUGAUCAAAAGGAGAUAAUGAUCCAUGGUACCGUGAAGAAGGAACACCAAGAUGACUUUAUAAGUUUGGAAGCAACUGCGUUGGCUGGAAAUAAUCUUCAUUAGUUGAUGGAUGCAUUGAGGAAAUUUUCUUUUGGGUAAACUACACACAGCGGCAAGAAGGAGUAGAAUCUUUUUUUUUUGGUCAAGAGGGAGUAGAAUCUAUUAUUAUUAUAUACAUGGGUGGA